rnacentral:rRNA from 1 species
CCUACGGGUGGCAGCAGUGAGGAAUAUUGGUCAAUGGCCGAGAGGCUGAACCAGCCAAGUCGCGUGAGGGAAGACGGCCCUACGGGUUGUAAACCUCUUUUGUCGGGGAGCAAAGAGAGUCACGUGUGACUCAUUGAGGGUACCCGAAGAAAAAGCAUCGGCUAACUCCGUGCCAGCAGCCGCGGUAAUACGGAGGAUGCGAGCGUUAUCCGGAUUUAUUGGGGUUAAAGGGUGCGCAGGCGGUGGUGAAAGUUAGCGGUCAAAUUUCGGGGCUCAACCCCGUACUGCGGCGGAAACUGCAUCCCUUGAGUGCGCGAGAGGUAUGCGGAAUGCGUGGUGUAGCGGUGAAAUGCAUAGAUAUCACGCAGAACUCCGAUUGCGAAGGCAGCAUACCGGCGCGCUACUGACGCUCAUGCACGAAAGCGUGGGUAUCGAACAGGAUUAGAUACCCUGGUAGUC